CCUACGGGAGGCAGCAGUGGGGAAUAUUGGGCAAUGGAGGCAACUCUGACCCAGCAACGCCGCGUGAAUGAUGAAGGUCUUCGGAUUGUAAAGUUCUGUGAUGGGGGAUGAACACAAUGACGGUACCCCAAUAGCAAGCCACGGCUAACUACGUGCCAGCAGCCGCGGUAAUACGUAGGUGGCAAGCGUUAUCCGGAAUGACUGGGCGUAAAGGGUGCGUAGGUGGUUUAGUAAGUUGGCGGUGUAAUUCCGGGGCUCAACCUCGGCGCUACCGCCAAAACUAUUAGACGAGAGUAAUGGAGGGGGAACCGGAAUUCUCGGUGUAGCAGUGAAAUGCGUAGAUAUCGAGAGGAACACUCGUGGCGAAGGCGGGUUCCUGGACAUUAACUGACGCUGAGGCACGAAGGCCAGGGGAGCGAAAGGGAUUAGAUACCCGGGUAGUC
rnacentral:rRNA from 1 species